rnacentral:lncRNA from 1 species
GCGACAGGUCGACCUCCUCCGCCGUCCAAAAUGAAGCUUCGGCUUUCUUGUACAUUUCCCAGAUUUCCGGGUACUGGAUUGGAAACAUGCAGAAUCGGUCUGGGUUCGGGGUUAGCAGCGGCUCUUCGGGGAUUGAUGGCAUUUUGGUAAUUUUCAAUGUUAAUACUAGGUUUAGGGCUUUUCUUUUCGUCGAAGAUGAGGGGAGCGAUGUUUCUGUGCAUUCUUAUAGAGGAGGUUGAGAGGGUAUUGAAAUUUUUGGAUAAGGGGUAAUUCAGAUAUUUAAGAAAAAUUUCGGUGACGUGGUUUAUUUUUGUGUGGUGCUAAGAUAUUUUGCGAGUGUGAAAUUACUUACUUAGAACGUCAAUUGUUUAAAUUCUGAAAAUGGUUUUGAAAUUUUGGGCAGCAAGGCUUGGAGGGGAAGCUUUUAAAGUGAAGGUGUGCGAGGGAAGCUUUCUUCUUAGGGGAAAAUUCAUUCAAGUAAUCCGAGUGUUUUGAUUAUUUUUAAUUGAACAAGAGUUAUUAACUCAAAAUCCG